GUUGGUAAUCCUGAAACCGGCCUGCAUAGCCCAUUGAAGUGGGCAACGCCGUCGUUCCCCUAGCGACCACGCCACAUAUUUGACGGGCGGUGCUAAGGAUCUUUGCAUCGCCAUGCGUAUUCCCCUUGCAACUGACCCCCAUCACCUUCAGGCAACCAAACAAUACACAUACUGCUGAUUCAAGCGAUGCAAUCAUAACUACCCUAGUGGCAUUUGGUGCCACAUCAUCCACCCAAGGUGUGUAGAUUAUUGUAGGUAAAUUUCUUUUUAUCCAUUUUUAGUUGUGCUUCGGGAUUGAAAAUAUAUGUAAUUUAAAAGGCAAUGUGCAACGCCAUGAUAUGCUCUCAUUCGUCAAGAUUUGCCAUUUAAGAAUUCUAACUUCUUGCUUCAUAACUAAGACCGGGGCAGUGCUCAGCAUCAUGGCUCACCCCCAUAUUUGGUUCUCUCAUCGGUUCUACAUCGCCACUGAAGAAGGCAUAUACUGAAAUCCAUGGCUCACCACCAGACACACCUAAGAAACUGUCACAAUAUUGUCGGCAAUAUAGAUGGAUCAACAUAGAUUGAUCAACGACUAACAAGUUGUUCUGAGUUGAAUUUUCUUCUACCUUCGACUUCAGAGGAUGCACUCAAGUUCACAUGUGAGGAACAUAGAGCUUGGGAUUUUGGAACCAUGACAUGGAUGAGGAAAUAUGUAGCUUUUGAGUGUUUUUUUUGCAUGUUGUGGAUGAGCACAAUGAACAGUACGUCUACAAUCAAACUUGGGUAAACAUGACGACACGAAGUAGACUGACUAGGAGGAGUUGUUGUGGAGCAUCGACCGUUACAAAGCCAGUCAUGUCAACAUACCCAUACGAUGUCUUUGGAAUUUUAUCUGCUGCCAGAAGACCAUACGAUGUCCUUGGAAUUUUAUCUGCUGCCAGAAGACCAUACGGAAUGGUCUUCUCUUGGUUGAUUGGCUAUUUCUUGACUUCCAAAGACCAAACACUUGAGGAGGACGUGGUAAAAGUCUCAAUAAUAUAUUUUGUUUUGUUUGUUUCAUUCAAGAGUUAAGAAUAAACGAAUGAAUUUGGGAAGCAACAUUCAGGAACACUACGGGAAGCACAUAAAUACUCCAACUAUAUCCUAACUAGGUAGGAUAUAUGGAAAGCAACAUUCAGGAAUACAAGCAUUGAAAGAAAUCUUCAAUAUAUGCCAUCUCAAAUUCAUA